rnacentral:rRNA from 1 species
AUUGAACGCUGGCGGCAGGCCUAACACAUGCAAGUCGAGCGGAGCGGCGGACGGGUGCGUCAUGCCUAGGAAUCUGCCUGGUCGUGGGGGAUAACGUCCGGAAACGGGCGCUAAUACCGCAUACUAUCAGAUGAGCCUAGGUCGGAUUAGCUAGUUGGUGGGGUAAAGGCCUACCAAGGCGACGAUCCGUAACUGUUCUGAGAGGAUGAUCAGUCAAACUGGAAGUCAGACACGGUCAAAACUAGUACGGGAGUCAGCAGUGGAGAAUAUUGGACAAUGGGCGAAAGCCUGAUCCAGCCGGGCCGCGUGUGUGAAGAAGGUCUUCGGAUUGUAAAGCACUUUAAGUUGGGAGGCGUUACCAACAGAAUAAGCACCGGCUAACUGGGUGCCAGCAGCCGCGGUAAUAC